rnacentral:rRNA from 1 species
UGCUCAGAUUGAACGCUGGCGGCAGGCUUAACACAUGCAAGUCGAGCGGAAACGAGAAAUAGCUUGCUAUUUCGGCGUCGAGCGGCGGACGGGUGAGUAAUGCUUGGGAAUAUGCCUUUGAGUGGGGGACAACAGUUGGAAACGACUGCUAAUACCGCAUAACGUCUACGGACCAAAGGGGGGGAUGCUUCGGCACCUCUCGCUCAUAGAUUAGCCCAAGUGAGAUUAGCUAGUUGGUAAGGUAAGAGCUUACCAAGGCGACGAUCUCUAGCUGGUUUGAGAGGAUGAUCAGCCACACUGGGACUGAGACACGGCCCAGACUCCUACGGGAGGCAGCAGUGGGGAAUAUUGCACAAUGGGGGAAACCCUGAUGCAGCCAUGCCGCGUGUGUGAAGAAGGCCUUCGGGUUGUAAUGCACUUUCAGUUGUGAGGAAAGGUGAGUAGUUAAUAGCUGCAUACUGUGACGUUAACAACAGAAGAAGCACCGGCUAACUUCGUGCCAGCAGCCGCGGUAAUACGAGGGGUGCAAGCGUUAAUCGGAAUUACUGGGCGUAAAGCGUUCGUAGGCGGUUGAAUAAGCAAGAUGUGAAAGCCCAGGGCUCAACCUUGGAACUGCAUUUUGAACUGUUCGACUAGAGUACUGU